rnacentral:rRNA from 1 species
UACGGGGGGGGCAAGCGUUGUUCGGAAUUACUGGGCGUAAAGGGCUCGUAGGCGGCCAACUAAGUCAUACGUGAAAUCCCUCGGCUUAACCGGGGAACUGCGUCCGAUACUGGAUGGCUUGAGUUUGGGAGAGGGAUGCGGAAUUCCAGGUGUAGCGGUGAAAUGCGUAGAUAUCUGGAGGAACACCGGUGGCGAAGGCGGCAUCCUGGACCAAUUCUGACGCUGAGGAGCGAAAGCCAGGGGAGCAAACGGG